GACGAACGCUGGCGGCGUGCUUAACACAUGCAAGUCGAACGGUGAAAGCGGAGCUUGCUCCGCUGGAUCAGUGGCGAACGGGUGAGUAACACGUGGGCAACCUGCCCCUCACUUCGGGAUAACUCCGGGAAACCGGGGCUAAUACCGGAUAUGACCUCCUUGGGCAUCCUUGGAGGUGGAAAGUUUUUCGGUGAGGGAUGGGCCCGCGGCCUAUCAGCUUGUUGGUGAGGUAGUGGCUCACCAAGGCGACGACGGGUAGCCGGCCUGAGAGGGCGACCGGCCACACUGGGACUGAGACACGGCCCAGACUCCUACGGGAGGCAGCAGUGGGGAAUAUAGCGCAAUGGGCGAAAGCCUGACGCAGCAACGCCGCGUGCGGGAUGACGGCCUUCGGGUUGCAAACCGCUUUCAGCAGGGAAGAAGCCGCAAGGUGACGGUACCUGCAGAAGAAGCACCGGCUAACUACGUGCCAGCAGCCGCCGUAA
rnacentral:rRNA from 1 species